rnacentral:rRNA from 1 species
GACAUAGGGGACGAACGUUAUCCGGAAUUAUUGGGCGUAAAGGAUGCGUAGAUGGUUCGAUAAGUUACUGGUGGGAAAUCGAGGCCCAACCUCGUGGAAGCUGGUAAUACUGUCGAGCUUGAGUGCAGGAGAGGUUAACGGAACUUUAUGUGGAGCGGUAAAAUGCGUAGAUAUAUGAAAGAACACCGAUAUAGCGAAGGCAGUUAACUAUUCUGCUACUGACAUUGAGGCAUGAAAGCGUGGGGAGCAAAACGG